GUGGAGAGGAGGAGACUGCUCUUAGCUUCAAGCAAAUACCUGGAGGAGAGACAUUUCCAUGAAGAGGUGCGGAGAGCCUGGAAUGGGUGUGGUGGAGCUGAGAGCACCAGCCACCUGGAACCAGUAGAACCAGUUCUUCUCUGUACAGCCUGGGAAAUCUUGCCUUCAAAGACAUGAGUUGACUGCUUUUACUAAAAUAUCCAGCUCACAUUCAGGUCGCCUUUACCAGCAGAGGGAGCAGGUGGAAGAGCAAAUGGAAAAGGAGCUCACUUCGAUUAAACUUUGAUCUUUGCUCUUCGUUCCAGACAGAGAAAACAAGGACCAGUUUCAGCAGCUGCUGCUAGCGGGCCAGAGUAUCCACAGCACGAAUACACUUGUUUUGCCUGUGUUCUCCCUUCUUCCUCUUACAAUUCCUGGUAGUAAAGUGGUAUUCGAAAGCCUAACUGUUCCACCAGUCCUGUCUAAUUUUCAUCCCUGGACUGGCAAUAUUUAGCAGAAAAUUGAGGCGGAAUUCCAACUGAUGAUAUUCUAAAUUCAGCUGCACAUUACUCACAGCCUGUCCUAUAGCUUGUAGCAAUAUCACUGCAUCUUAACCUCUUUUCUAGAACUGGGCUCUACUGCAAAUCUGGAAACAUCCAGACUAUUUGUGUAAAAUGAAAACUCGUAAGGAAAUUUAUGUCUGAAUAAUGCAGUGCUAGUUUUGAUCUAUUGGAGAAGGUUUUCAGUUCACCUGCCUCUCACAAGAGGAUUUUAUAAGCUAAAGUCUUGUUCAAAACAAUAUUUUUAAGCCAUUAAAUGUUUUAUCUGAGAAUGUUCAUGUUCUCUUAAAAACAACUUAUUUUCUCCCCACCUCUCAUUUCUACCUAUUUGCAGUUAGCUUCCUCUGCACCAUUUCUGAAUACGAAAUGGACUUUAUACCUAAUAAUGAAAUUAAGCCAAGUACAAUCUCUUACUCUGCAUCAAAGAUCCUGCAAUUUUUUCUUUUUCAGAAUAACUCAGCAUGUAGAAAGAGGGAGACUAACACUUUCUUUUUGAGACAUAAAUCUUCUGGCAACAUGAGCUUUUUUUCCUUUAAAGUAAAAGUAAAUGUAUAGGACAUGCAAAAGAUGGUUUAGAAGGAUCAGGCACCGUUCCUCCCUCAAUAAACAGGAGGCGGUCCAGUGGGAUCAGGUCAGCAAUUUAGGGAAAAGCUUUGUACCACAUUGUCAGAGAGACAUUCCCAAUUAAAUCUUACAGAAGCAGUUUAGCACUAUCAAAAAGUAUAUAGGCUUCUCUCAGUCCAACUUGAGAUUGCUGCUUCUUUCUUUUUUUUUUUUUUAACUCAGUCCCAUGGGACUUUGAGCAAGAAAUAAUUAUUCUGUAGAGAGUAAAGGUGAGAACCAAAUAGGUCUGAAAAUAAUGCUGUUUUCAUUAGAUCAAAGGUGAGUUAUUACUAUAAAAAAGUAACCACUGAUCAGUUUCUGAAAUUUUGACUAGCACUUUACAAAAAUGAUUUACCACAUGGCAUAGAGGAAAUGGGUGGCUUUGUAACAACUCCCACAGCAGAGCUAUACGUGUGGUUUAUCUAUCCUUCUCAAUCAGAAGAGAUAAACAAGGCUUUGAAGACAAAGAGCAGUGCCAAAGCCCUUAUGUCUGUUGCUGUACCUUGAGAAGCCCACAAAAUCAUCAAGAAAACUCUCUGUUUUGAGCUGGUAAGUAGUUAUUUAGAGAAGGUACAGAGAUAUUACAAACAGCUGGAAGAAGAGCCUUGAAAUCUGCCCUUAAAGUGGAAAAAGCUGUGCAGAACUACAGCAGAUAUUUGCCUGUAUUCCUCAUAUAAAACUAUUUGAUAAGGUGUUUCAUGGUGUCAUGAGUGGUAGAUCUUAGGUUAAUCAGGUUAGAUUUAUUUUCUAAAAAGUUCAGACAGCCAUCAUGGAUUAAUAUUAACAUCCCAUCUACGCUCCAGAGUCCCUAUGAAACCAUUUUUCUCUAAACAGAAGGUUUUGAUUGACUGACCUAGCUGUACAUUGAAAAUUUUAGUCCAGUAGUUGGCAAGUUUUGUCUGGUUUUUGACUCAUCAAUAUUUUCUCAUGAAAGUGAAGAUCCCUGAAGAGUGAAUUCAAACUGACUGACAACAGACUUGCAAGUUUUAGUUGCCUUUGUUGGACCACUCAGAAGUACCUGAGCAUGGGCUGAAAAAUCCCUAAAACGUGGUCAUAUAUGUGAAAUAGUUACAAGUAUAAUCCCCUUCUACUUUUUUUUACCCUCUUUCAAGGAACUAUUCAGGAGUGUCUCUUUUCCCUCAGUCUGUCAGGACUGUAUUCUUGAUGAACAAGUGGACUGAAGACAAUAGCUCAGAAUAUAAAACUCCUUUUGCAUGCAAAUAGUAUCCUCUUACUUGGUACAAUCCCAGAUCAGUCUAAUCUUCACUUUAUUCUCUGUUUAUAAAAUAAAUUAGAAUAAACUGAAAGAACCGAUCACCUCUUUAAAUUGGAAGCACUCCCUCUACAGGGCCAUUCAGAGGGGAACAAAGGAACUUAAAACGUAUCAGCAUCCAGUUUCCAAAGGAAAUUCACGGUCAAAGUUAAACUAGCCCUAUUGCUUAUGCAGUUAGUAAGUGUCUUAAAUAGGUGGUGAGUGCUACCUCUUUCAUUUGGGGAAAAGUAUAUAUAAUUUAAAUGAAUGCUGGCCCUGGUAUUUUGUUUAUUUUCAACUCUCUCUCUGUCCAUAUUCCUGAUAUUUAUUUUAAUAAAACUAACACAUUAAGGUUUUCCUGGUGGGACAUUGGUAACCAGAAAUGCUCUACAAGCCCUGUGGAGGGCUCUGAGUGGAUGGUCGCCAAGAGGCCACAGAUAAAGCUGGGAUUACUGGUGUCUCCUCUAAAUCACUGUUUAAGAUCCAUGUAAUUAGUUCAUAUGUUAAUGCUGCAUACAUUAAUAUUCAAUAAUGUAUCUUGAUUAGUAGAUUUGAGAAGGCAUGCAAGAGCUCAAAAACUGAUACUUCUGCAGGGCAAUUCCUCAAAUAUCUUGAUCCGUACACUCAGACCAGCCUGCAAAAACCAGGUGGCAUCUAUGCCAGAGAGAGAUUGAGGAUUUUCACUAUGAUUGGGGCAUGUACGAUCUUCUCUUGAUAGCCCACAGUGAAAACUAAGGAAAAAGGUAAAAUUUGAUACUGUCCUGCAGCUGACUUCUACCUACCAGCUUGGCACAGCUCACUGGUUCUCCAGUGAAAUGGCAAUCGAGUUAAAUCUAGCUUGUUUUUUCAACUACUGCUCAGAAGUCUUCAUGAAUGGUACUCAGCAAACCUUAAACUCAAAGAACUACUUCUAAGCUAUGAAAUAGUGUCAGCUCUUUUAAAUAUAUACAUUGAUGAUCUCCCUGACACUUGAGCUUGUAAAUAGUCUGGGUAUUAAUUCUUACGACUUUUCUGACCUUGAGCAUAACUUGAAACAUGAUUCAGCAGUAACACUCAUAACUGGCAGUUGCAGAUGAAUGCUUUGCUAUUGUAACUUCUCCUGUAAUUCAAGUUUAGUUUCUCAAUAGAAUACAGUCCAUAUCUUGUCUAUCUCAUAGUUUCUCUUAGUAGGUCUCUGACUUUCCCUGUCUGUCUGAUAACACUUGCUGUCAAUGUCAAGACCUGCCCCAACCUAUUGACAAAUUGUUGUGACUACCAUGCACAAUCUUCAAACAUUUGCUACCACUUUGCUACUCAGAAGAGAGUGUAGUUUUCCAAUUUUGGCCCCCUCACCUCAUGUUACAUUAGCCAAUUUUACAAGAUAAUCACACCCAGCAUUUUUGUCCCAUUGACUAAUAAUGUCUUACCACAUUUUUAUUCUGAAAAGUCUGGAGACAAAAGGGUCGUGGAUAUCAAAACCUUGCCCGACCUUCUGUUGUAUUUGAAACUCUCCCUUUAGCCCUCUGUUUAGUUCAACUUGCCUAGUAUUCUGACAUGUUAUAUGGUCAGCCCUGUUACUCUGGCAUUUUGACAGCAGAAAACACAGACCUUAUUGACAGCAAACUGAUGAAAAUCCUACCAUUUGACAACCACAUUUUAUGCUGGGAUCUUCCUAAAAUACUUCCAGAUUGCUUGAAGAUAGAAUGUUGCUACCAGAUUAUGUUAAGGCAUAAGGAGAAUCUGAACUGCAGAUGCAAGCAAUGAUUCGCAACAUACAACAUACAUUUCCUAAUCAGAUGAGGUCUAAGUGUACCAGAUUCUGUCUCUGAAAAUGCUGAUGUUUUAUAUGACAAUAUUUGCAUAUACUAGUAUCUCUAGAAUAUUAUUUACAUGACCACUCUAUCACUGAGCACAUUAAACAGCUAAAAGAAGUCAGGGGAAGAGAUGCUUUCAAGGAGGCCUAGCAUAUGUAUUAAUGUUAGGAAAUUAUUAUGGUUCAAAGAUUAAAAUUACUGUGCAGUUGGUCAACAUCUCAGUCUCAUUUGACACUGGCAUUCAGAUCAUGAACCCUGAUCUCUGACCAACAGGCAGGGCAUUCUGUUGGGUGGUCACAUUGUCUCAUUCUGUAUUUUUAGUAGAUUUUCAAAUCACAGAUGUUGAGUGUUACUACCUCUUCAAAGAGCCACUGGAGUCCUAUCUAUACAAGGAUUUUGCUGUAAAAUACAGCUGGAACUUCAAUUUACAAUGUGCUAACUACUUCAUAUUGUGUCCCCCAUCAAGGCUCAUUCAAAAUCACACAGGCAUCAAUUGCAGAGGUGGAAAGUGAAAGAAAGAGCCUUCUGUGCUGAUAUUUAAUAGUAUGGUGCACUAAAACAAGAAACACACAAACCUUGUGUACAAAUCAUUUGCUUUCACAUUACUAGAAUACUAUUUACAGUACAAGAGGAAAAAUAACUACAAGUUGUAAUUUACCCUCAAAGAGCUACAAUGGAGCUGUAGAUGUGCUGAAAAAUGCCCACAUCUGUAACCUCAGCUGGACUGAAGCCAGCAGUGCCAUAAGGAAAUAAGAUAAUGAAUAAAGGCUUAUCUCUACAUUGCUAGACUCGUCUGAUCACAUCAGGUAUUUGUAUUGAUGCAUAUGUGUACUUGCAAUAUUCUAGAGGAAGUGUUCACUACAGAAUCAGAAACUAAAUUUCUUCAUAUUUCUGUGGUUCAUAACCUUUAAUCAUGUUACUUAUAUUUAGGAAGAAUUUCUCUGGAGUAGCGUUCAGCUGAUAACUUCUUCCAUAUGAAUCGUGAUAAUGUUUGUUGCUAUUUGCAUAGCACUGGAAAUUAUCAAGAUGAAUAGGAAUGACCCUUUUACUCAUCAGGAUGUAGUUUGUUCUGUUAUUUCUUCUGCAGUUAAUUGGUACUCAUUGGUAAUUGUUGAAGCUUCCAAAGGAAGCAGAAGUCUGAGGAAUAGAGGUAUUUCUUGAAUUAGGGAGAGUUGAUUAGUUCUUCACAUUAUUAAGAAAGACACUAUAAAAAAUAAAGUGCAAAC